CGCGGGGUAGAGCAAUUGGUAGCUCGUCGGGCUCAUAACCCGGAGGUUGCAGGUUCAAGUCCUGUCCCCGCUAC
rnacentral:tRNA from 1 species